GUGUUCACUUUGACAGCAAAUAUACUAAAAUUGGAACGAUACAGAGAAGAAUAACAUGGUCCCUGUGCAAAGAUGACAUGCAAAUCCAUGAAGUGUUCCAUAUUUUA
rnacentral:snRNA from 1 species